rnacentral:rRNA from 1 species
GACGUAGGGCGCGAGCGUUGUCCGGAUUUAUUGGGCGUAAAGAGCUCGUAGGCGGCUUGUCGCGUCGUCCGUGAAAACUUGGGGCUCAACCCCAAGCUUGCGGUCGAUACGGGCAGGCUAGAGUUCGGUAGGGGAGACUGGAAUUCCUGGUGUAGCGGUGAAAUGCGCAGAUAUCAGGAGGAACACCGGUGGCGAAGGCGGGUCUCUGGGCCUGUUCUGACGCUGAGGCGCGAAAGCUAGGGGAGCGAACAGG